rnacentral:rRNA from 1 species
UGGGGAAUAUUGCACAAUGGGCGAAAGCCUGAUGCAGCAACGCCGCGUGAAUGAUGAAGGUCUUCGGAUCGUAAAGUUCUGUUGCAGGGGAAGAUAAUGACGGUACCCUGUGAGGAAGCCCCGGCUAACUACGUGCCAGCAGCCGCGGUAAUACGUAGGGGGCUAGCGUUAUCCGGAUUUACUGGGCGUAAAGGGUGCGUAGGUGGUCCUUCAAGUCGGUGGUUAAAGGCCACGGCUCAACCGUAGUAAGCCGCCGAAACUGGAGGACUUGAGUGCAGGAGAGGAAAGUGGAAUUCCCAGUGUAGCGGUGAAAUGCGUAGAUAUUGGGAGGAACACCAGUAGCGAAGGCGGCUUUCUGGACUGCAACUGACACUGAGGCACGAAAGCGUGGGUAGCAAACAGGAUUAGAUACCCUGGUAGUCCACGCUGUAAACGAUGAGUACUAGGUGUCGGGGGUUACCCCCCUCGGUGCCGCAGCUAACGCAUUAAGUACUCCGCCUGGGGAGUACGCACGCAAGUGUG